rnacentral:lncRNA from 1 species
CCUUUUGCCACAACAGCAUGUCUUCCUGUAUUUAGGAACCAACUGGUGAACCAUCUCCUAAAAGACCAAGAGGAAGACCCAAAGGAAGCAAAAACAAGAGUCCCUCUAAAGCAGCUCAGAAGAAAGCAGAAGCCACUGGUGAAAAGCGACCUAGAGGCCGGCCCAGAAAAUGGGAAGCAAGUCUCAGAAUCUUUGCAGGCCAACCAGAUACAACUGCUUUCCAAGAAAGAGGUUGUUAAUUCCAUUGUGAGAAAUCACAAAAAACGCUAUCUACAGGAGAAGUUAAAGUCAUCAUGAUCUUUUUGCAUAAUUAUGAAUCACUGUGGUUUUCUUUGCAUGGUUAAAAUUUCAAAUAAUAAUUAAGUAUUGUCCCAGAGCAAGUUUUGUGCAUUGCUAAGCAAAAGACUUUUCUUCACAUCCCUGAAGCCAUUAUCUUGAAUGUAUAAUAAAUGAGAAGCAGAACUGUAGUGAUUUAUUUGG